CCUACGGGAGGCAGCAGUGGGGAAUAUUGCACAAUGGGCGAAAGCCUGAUGCAGCGACGCCGCGUGAGGGAUGACGGCCUUCGAGUUGUAAACCUCUUUCAGCAGGGAAGAAGCGAGAGUGACGGUACCUGCAGAAGAAGCGCCGGCUAACUACGUGCCAGCAGCCGCGGUAAUACGUAGGGCGCAAGCGUUGUCCGGAAUUAUUGGGCGUAAAGAGCUCGUAGGCGGCUUGUCACGUCGGGUGUGAAAGCCCGGGGCUUAACCCCGGGUCUGCAUUCGAUACGGGCUAGCUAGAGUGUGGUAGGGGAGAUCGGAAUUCCUGGUGUAGCGGUGAAAUGCGCAGAUAUCAGGAGGAACACCGGUGGCGAAGGCGGAUCUCUGGGCCAUUACUGACGCUGAGGAGCGAAAGCGUGGGGAGCGAACAGGAUUAGAUACCCUGGUAGUCCACGCCGUAAACGGUGGGAACUAGGUGUUGGCGACAUUCCACGUCGUCGGUGCCGCAGCUAACGCAUUAAGUUCCCCGCCUGGGGAGUACGGCCGCAAGGCUAAAACGUCAAAGGAAUUGACGG
rnacentral:rRNA from 1 species